rnacentral:tRNA from 13 species
CGCAGUCGACAGGAUUCGAACCUGUGCGGGGAAACCCCAAUGGAUUUCGAGUCCAUCGCCUUAACCACUCGGCCACGACUGC